rnacentral:rRNA from 1 species
AUUGAACGCUGGCGGCAGGCCUAACACAUGCAAGUCGAACGAGUGGCGGACGGGUGAGCAAUGCCUGGGAACCUGCCUGAUGGAGGGAGAUAACUACUGGAAUAGUUAGCCAAUACCGCAUAACAUCCGCUGGGCCCUUAUGGGAUUUGAUUGUUGGAGGGGUAACAGCUCACCAAGGCGACGAUCCCUAGCUGGUCCGAGAGGAUGACCAGCCCCACUGGCACUGAGACACGGGCCAGACUCCUACGGGAGGCAGCCGUGGGGAAUUUUGCACAAUGGGCGCAAGCCUGAUGCAUCCAUGCCGCGGGUAUGAUGAAGGCCUUCGGGUUGUAAAGUACUUUUAGAGGGGAGGCGUUACCCGCAGAAGAAGCACCGGCUAACUCCGUGCCAGCAGCCGCGGUAAUAC